UGAAUGCCUUGUCGAAGCAAGGAAGUUUAGGUUGGGAGCCCUGGCAUAACAGUUCUUGCUUUGUUUUAGCAUUGUCUAAGCUUGAGUAAGUUAGGCUUCUGUUUGCAGUGCCUGUUCAGCCACCAGAUGAUCACCAACACGUGCACGCAGCAAGCUUUGCACCGUAAGCCACACAAAAGGUUCCAACCCUCAUGGAUCUAGUCCAGGACAAGCAUGAACUUUCCGGGCCAUAAUUCCUGUCCUGGGUGAAACAAGCCUACACAGAGAAGGACAUUUUGAAUAUAGAGUCCUCAACGCGGCUGCAAGCACAUUCACCUAUGUGGAUGCAAUACAGGGAAGCCAUGGUGACGCUUCCGAAUGCGCAUAUGUACUUGUAUAAAAAACAAGAGAAAAUCAGAUUCUGUCGUCUAGCCAGAAGCACGAAGAGUUCAAGAUGAAAAACCUUUCCAUCGGUAUCGUUGUCGUGCUGGUGCUAUGUGCCAUAAUCCGCUCCGAAUACGUCGACGGAGAAGUUGCGCAGCCGACAGGUAAGCCCGCCAACGGACUCGGAGGACCAGAAGGAAUAAACCUGAAUCUGCCAAAACAUGAGGAACGAGGGUGUGUAGUUGUUGAAGCGCGAGAAAGAGAGAAAGAGGCGCACGCAAAACGGCCAGGUCCGGGCCAUCCGAGUCCAUUUUUCCCUAGAGUAAAAAAGCACAAGAUCAGUCAAAGAACUAACUAUUCGCUCUAUGCCCCUGUGCGACCUUAAUUUCCGUUGAAAUAAAGAAGCACUCCCACUGCUGUUUGUUGCU
rnacentral:lncRNA from 1 species